AUGCUCACUUCGGCAGCACAUGUACUAGGAUUGGAAUAAUACAGACAAGAUUAGCAUGGCCCCUAUGCAAGGAUAACAUGCAAAUUCAUGAAGCAUUCCAUAAUUUU